AAGCGAUGAUAUCAAGGGGCGUGCCAAGAGCGUUGCUUGGUUGAGCUGGCGGGAGGGGUUGCACAGUGAAACCUCAACUUGGCGUAGGCAUUUGCCGAAAGAAAAUGUGAAUG
rnacentral:ncRNA from 1 species